GGAAGGUUCAGGAUUGCACCUGUCAAAAUAACUUAAUGUAGGGCCUUAUACCAGGGAUGAGCAACAUUUUUCCGUAAAGGGGCAGAUAGUAAAUAUUUUAGGCUUUGCGGGCCAUGUGGUCACUCUUGCAACUACUCAACUCUGCCGUUGUAAUGGGAAAGCAGCCAUAGACAAUAUAUAAGAAAUAGGACUGGUUUGUUCCAAUAAAAGGUUUGGUUUUGUUUUGCUUUAUUUUGUUUUUUGUUUGUUUGUUUUUACAGAAAUAGUGGUCCAGAUUUGGCUCAGAGGCUAUAGUUUGCCCACCCCUGCUUUAUACAACUGGAAGAAAGAUGUCAAUUACCUACCUGCCCCGAGAUCAAUGAUACACAUUAGAGAGGUGGCUGGUAGGGGACCAGUGUGGCAGCCUCUUGUCCCCAGACUAAGCAAAACCAUCUGGCCCUCGGAGGAAUUGAACCCAUAUUAUCAACCUCAAUUAGCACCAUGUUUUACUCAAUUGAAGAAAUAAAAGUUGCAAUUAAUUCAACUGUCCUCGUCUUAGUCAUUAUCAAUUGCAAUAUUCUAUCCUUAUUUAGCUUCUAAAACCCAAAAGUUCAUGCUCCCGGACAAAGUACAUGGGAAAGUAUGAUAUGCCAGCAUUGUCACUAUUACAACUUGAAUGACUGCAGGAGAUUGUAUUUUUAAACUGCCUCAUCAUAGCCCUAUCCUCAAAUGUAUGCCAGGACUUCCAGAGAAGCAAAGUCACAUGGCUGUUUAUUCAAUGAGAAUUCAUGUUUAUCAUCUCUCAUCCCAAUCCUACUUCCCCUACACUAUUCUCCUGCUUGGCUCCUUGGAAAAGGAAACUGUCCUCCCUUCAGUUACAUUUUUGUCAUGUUCAAUGAGUUAAUUUUGUUGGCUCAGUUAUAUAUUUUAGUAUAAAUUAAAUUCAAGUUUCCUUUAUUUGAGUCUUUGGGCCAGUUGCAUUGCUUUAUACUUUCUGGUGUUCUCAAUUUCAACUUUGCUAGCAUUUAGAAGGCAAAGGCACUGUCUAGCAGAAGUAAUAAUCCUUUUAACUACCUAAUUGCUUCUGUUGGUUACCGCCGUUUGUCUUCUAGACUCAAGGCAUUGACUCUAGAUGACUUCCAAC
rnacentral:lncRNA from 10 species